UUUAAAGGCUAUCGUCAAUUAGAUACUUAAUCAUAAAUUUUGCAAGAAAUUGAAUGAAAUAGUUCAUGUUGGCACUUAACUGGUUACACAUGAUUCUAACUUAAAAAUUCUAAAUCUUUAGAGGCCAACGAUCCUGUCAUAUCAAAAGUCAUACCACAUUUGAUUGGAUUAAUGAUCUAAUUAUAAAACUUAAUUCAAUUAUGAUUACAUGUAAAAAAAUUAUAAUUUCACUAAUUAUUUCUUUUUUCAAAUCAUUAGGGUUUUCAAGUUAACGGCGUAUGUGGCCAGCUAAGCGCGCCCAAGGACUGUUUGGUCCAGCUCUAAUUGAAAAUCUAAAUUUGAGUUCAGGAGUCUAAUUGAUAAAAAUAAUAACAAAGAAUUACAAAAUGAACCCUAGAGUUUGAUCUUAUUAACUAAUUAAACCCAAGUUUUUAAUUUUUCCACAUUAAACUGUACACUUUGAGCAAAUUUUCAAUCCAAUCCCUACGUCCAUCUCUAUUAAAAUGGUCCAACACAAUAGAAACAUUGCACCCUCUACUCAUUGGCUCCUCUCUCUCUCUCUCUCAUGUAUGUGUAUAUUAUAUGCAAAUAUACAAAUACCUAUACUCCCUUGCAAAACCAUCGGACCCCUCUAUUACCACCUCCUCUACCACUAGCCCCAAAACAAUCACGGUCUUGCACCACCACCAAGGCCUCCAUCCAAUUCAAAAACCAACUUCUUAGUCAACAGGUCACCGAAGCCACACAAUUCGGAAAACUACUAAAAACAACGUAUUCACUAUCGAUUUGAAAAAUGAAAAGCAUAAUACUAUUGGAUAUUAAAAAAAAAAAGUUGAAUUAAUAGAAUGAUGCUUAAUUUUGUUUUCUGAUUUUUGGGUGGAUGGAUGGCAUCAACUUAGGAGGGAAGGGAGGUGGUUCACUAGUGACGAGAGAGGAUGUGUAAAGAGAGUGUGGAAGUGUAGACCUACCUCUUUGUUGUGAGAGAAGAUUGGAAUGGGUUUCGUGAGUGGUCGAAUGUGAUGGUAGAAGGUAAAAAUGAAAAGAGACAUUAUUGGAAGAGAAAAUGAAAAUACUUUGAGUCAACUGCUUUUUCCAUUUAAGCCAUUUAAGGGAGAUGAACGUGGGGUUGAAAUUGUAGUAAUUCAAAAAGUGACGUUUUUAAGUUGGCAAAAUCAAAAGCAUAGAGUUUAAUUUGAUGAUAAAGUAAACUCUAGGGUUUAUUUAAUAAUUUCCCAAAAUAAUAAAAUCCCCAAAUAAUUUGAGGACUCUACUUGUGAUCCAAGUGAAAUCUGGUGGUUUUGGGAAUUAGGUCUGUUUGUUAUCUUGCUUAUCACGUAUGCACGGGCAAACCGAUUGCAUGCAAGAAUAAUGAUUGAUAUACAUCUAUUUUGCCCUAUCACAAAAUAAGUGGGUUCCGCCCUAAUUAGGGUUUUUAGAAAAUCGUAAAAACUCUAAUUAGGGCGGGUCCCACUUAUUUUGUGAGAGGGCAAAAAAGGGUGUGUCUUGUACACACCUAUUUUUGGGUGUGUACCUAUCAUAUUGUUGAUGCAAGGUCGCGUUGUACAUCAAAGCAUACUCUAGCAUGUAUAUAUAUAUUAUUAAUUAAAUCCUACAGAAAUGUGGGAAAUUUUGUACGUUUAGGGAUUUUUACGUAAUCAAAUUACGAAGUUUGGCAAAAAUAAUAUUUAAACAGAUGGCAUCCAUCAAUUGAAGUCCACCGUUGCUAAACAACGUUGUCCUUUUCUCUCUAACUUAUGGUCAUUUGGUGUUGUGACUCUACCAUUUAUAAUAUGUUCAUUUCUAUUUCGUCUCUUCUAGUUUACCAAACAUCCAUUCUUAACAUUCUAGUUUGGAUUUACACAUUCUAUGGACGUGUUUGCUUCUCAGUUCCACAUUUGUUCUCGUAUAUUUCAUUGAUGUGGUCUAAUUAUUAACAUGGUGUUUUCUUAGUGGCGUUAUCUUUUACCAUUCUUAGCUCGCUGUAUCUGAUGAGGUUUUGAGUUUUGCGAUUGCUCUUUGUUCACAUAACAAAUUAAAAUACAAAGAACAAAGCAUAUUUUUUGGUAUCAUUUACGUGUAUGUAUCCUGAUUUUUCAGAAAUUGCCUUGUUUCGUGUUCACGUCACAAGUCACAACAUGUCGUAUUUGUGCUUUUUAGGUACUUUUUAUAAAGAAAGAAAGGACAUACCUCAAAAGUUUCGAGGUGAAGAUACCCCAAUAUCUAGAAGAUGUUUAGAUAGUUUCGGGUGUCACAGAAUGAGUGUCAAGUUGCAAAUAGGAUUGUUCAAAAAAGGUGCAAGUAGAAUGAAGGACUUAAAGGUGCAAGUAGGAUGAAGGACUUAGUACUUCACAAGUUUAAGUUCGUCAAAAGAGACUGUUUUUUUAGAUGGGACUUCAUGAGACUUAAAAAAAAACAUAAUGAGUUCAAGUUCUAAAAGAGUUGUGUUACUUCUCUCAAUCCAAAAAUACCAUGCAAAAGCUUAUAAAUACUAAUUCACACGGUGUCUUGUCCGCGCCUUACCUCUUAAUUUAGCCGAGUCUAAAAAAUCACUCUUUGUCAAACAUCAACAUUUUGGUGAACUCUGCACUUACUGAGGCUGAGUGUCUAUUGAAAAAAUUACUAUGAAAAUUUAAACCACACAAGGUUUAUGCGAUUGAAAUAAGAUUAUCAUUUAAUCAUAUUUUUUCUCUCGUUUUCUUGGCUGCCAAAUGGAGCUUGACAGCAUAUGGAAUAAAUCUCAUGUACAAUCAAACCAGAAAGUUGAACUUUCUAUCUGUUUGUGUGAAAAGACUUAAAAUUAGUAGGAUAGAAUCUGAAGAAAUUGUAAUUAUUAUAGAGCUAGAUAGAGGUUGCAAUUUUGUUAAAAUCAGACGGCCAUGGUGAUGCAUAUAUAUUAUAGAAUCAAACAUAGAAAUCAAAAGAGAGACCUUAAAAUGACCACCCACCUUCAUUGGUGGUUUAGGAAAUAUUUAUUAGGAUAGGUGCUUUCAUCAAUAGUAUACUACCUAGAGCAAUUUGUAUAAAAGAAAAUAAGUUACAAGUAGGACAAAGUUGCGAAAGUGACAUAUAGUUUCUAACUACAAUUAUUUGCUAGGAAACAAAAACUACCGUGUCAUCCCCCACUAGUAAAAUAGGGUAUUACUUCAUAGUGCACAUUUGAAAUUCUAUGAAGCUUUUGUAAAUUUGUCAUUGUCAUGGACAUACCUUCUUGGUAGUUUCCAAAGUUGUUGUACAUUUGUUGGAGGUAAUCUCAUUACUUGACGCAAUAAGAAAUAAAUUGUUGCUGCUAAAUCGAGUGUAGAGGCAAAAUUCCGUGUCAUGGCCCAAAAAGUAUGUGAAUUGUUAUGCAUAAAGAUAAUCUUGAUAAAGUUGAGAUUAGCACUAACGGGGUCUAUGAGAUUGUAUUGUGAUAACAAAGAUACCAUUAAUAUCGCACACAAUCCAAUUCAGCAUGAUAGAACUAACAUGUCGAGAUUGACAAGUACCUUAUCAAGGAAAAGUUAAUAGAAGGUCUGAUUUGUACUUCAUUUGUGAAGACUGAAGAUCAACUAACUGAUAUUCUAACUAAAGAAAUAGCUAGUAAACCAUUUUGUCACAUUCUCAGCAGCAUGGUAUAAGAGAUAUCUUUGGCACACUUUGAGGGGGAGGGGUUGAUAUUAACUUAUUUGUCAUCUUUUAUUGUUAAGGCUUCUGUAGUUUCAAGCUAUGCUUAAGCUAGGUUAAGCUGUCACACUUUCUAGUUCCCAAAGAUGUCCAAAAAACAAUUAUUAAUUCAUUUGCAUGAUGGGUUUUUCUCAAAGCACUCCAAGUACUGAAAUGUAUUUCCCUAUUACAAUUACAUAGCUAUCUCCCCCACUUUUUCUCUCUCUUUACUUUAAACCCACAUGCUGUAUGAACAUAUAUUGAGGUUCCUUAACAAAGGUCAUUCCCAUACCACACGCACACCGCACCAAUUUUUUUUUCAUUUUGAGUCUGAUGGGAGCUAGGUUUUACUACUUUUGAUAACAGGUCCUGGUGUGGAGAUGAAAUUAGAGUUUUCGUUCCGCCAACUCGUACUGACAGUAUUGAAAGAUCAUUAUAUCAACCAGGUGAAACCCAAGAAAGUAGAGACAACUAUACUUUAUGCGUGAGGCUGAAAUCCUGAAACUCUACAUUCUUCAUGGUUUUUCAUGGAUGGUAUCUUACACUGGGGUUUCCUUCUUAGAAGUUCCACGUGUGAAAUUACCAAAAUAUAUUGGCUAUCUUGAUGAAAAUGGUCUUGUCGUCCUGAAGGGCGUUAGACAUAUAUUGCCUGGUUUCAGCAGGCUCAAGUUCCCUCGCACCCACCCACACCCCACAACACAUCACAAUUCUCAAAUCCGAUUUUGUAUGUUCAUGUAAGUUUUUGUUGAGAUUUUUGUUAGGAUUUUAUACUCAAAGACAUGUUUUGUGUAAUAAUUUUAGUAUGUAUUAAUAAAUUAGUUAAUAUCUCAUGUUUAUUAUAAGUGUUUUUAAUAUUUUUCUGAUAUAAUAAAUAAACACGUGCAUUUAAUAUUUUAUUGUUUUGAUUCACAAAAGAGUGAGAUUUUUUGUGGGUCAAUAAACUCAGUGAGUUAGAUAAUAACAUUACGUAUAUGGUGAAUAUUAAUUAUUGAUGGAAUUCACGUUCUAAUAUAGAGAUUGAUAAUACUCCCUUGAAAAUACUUAUAAAUUUUGAUUAUGUCAAAUUCUGCAGGUGAAUUAUAAAUCCGACAUAUCAAAUAUGUCAAGUGAAAGGUCUCAAGGAAUUAAAUAUCUCUAUUAAAUUUAAUUGUCAGUAAUUUAAUUUAAUAAACAGGUAUCUGUGAUCUUAACAUGUGAGAUAAAUAAGUAUUUAAUAAAAUGGUACUCGGAAUAUAAUACUGGUAUAAAAAAGAGUGCAAUUAUAAUUAUUUAAUGGCCUUAAUAAUAAUUUACAUAAAUAGGGAUUAAUCCUUGUUGGAUUAGGAAUCCUUAUUUAUGUAGGAAGUUUAGUCAUACUU
rnacentral:lncRNA from 1 species